AUUAUGCUCUUAUCUUUAAAUCCAUUUGUUGGAUUAUGUGUUGCCUUGUACUUAUUAAAUUAUGUUUAAGUGUUGCAUUAUCUCUCUUCUUAAAAAAAAUCAUCAAACAACCUCAUUUUGAAUGAAUCUGUCACAUAGGUUGUGAGGGAAAGUGGAGCGCAGCAGAAGAAUGCUUCAAAUGAAGUCAUCUUAAUAGAAGUGAUAACAUGUAUUGCAUUUGUUUGGGGAUGGUGGGAAUGGUGAGAAAGAACUAAUAAAAACCGAUGUAGUUCACAAAGAUACUACCAGUUCUUUGAAAGCUCACUUGAUCAACAAAGGACUGUUGUGGGCAACCUUGUCUCAAAUACACACGAGAAGUUAACAAACACUAACUGAAAAAGAGAGACAAGAUCUUGGUCCUACAGACAUAUUAUUUGAGGCUCUAAAUCUCCCAAACUAUCCUGGGCGUGUUAGGAGGCUCUAAAUCCUGGUGCUGUUUUGUUAUUCUUUCUUGUUUUUUUAGGUGUUUUGUUUAGAGAAUAUGAUUUUUUGCUUUAGGAUUUAGAUUAAAGUACUCUUGGAAUGUAUGCAUAUACAAAUUUUUUCUAUGCACAUGACCUCUUUUUUUAGUACAUUAAAAUGUUAUGAUAUUUAUA